AAGAUAAGAGUUAAAAAUUGAUAUGAAAUGUCUUCCUUUGCUUUUGAAUCCAGGCCAUAAGGCACAAGGCAUUAUCAAACAAAGUACAAGAGAUUUCCUAAAAUAUUGGGUAAAUUUCACUCUCCUUUUUCUGAUAAAUACAAAAAUAUUUUGAUAAAUGCAGUUAUCUCGUGGUUUCUGAAAUAUCACUGAUAUCCCUUUUUUAAACUAUAAUUGAGAUUCCUUCUGCCCUUAAAUUUAUUGCUAAAAGGGUCCCAAUUUUUAUGUACUUGUAUUGUCAAAUGCGUAACCAACUAAAGUUGGGGAAGAUAGAGAGGAGAUGAGCCAUUAUCAAUGAUGUAUCUCUCAAUCUGUAGCUGUUGUUUUGUACACAGUUCAUUUAUAUGCAACUAAUUAUAUGUUGGUUACUUGGUAAGUUCUGAAUUAUGGUAUAUUUAUCUUGGCCUAUUGACUGAUUUUUAUGUGGUUGGAUUUGCG
rnacentral:lncRNA from 1 species